rnacentral:rRNA from 1 species
GAAGGCCCUAGGGUUGUAAAGCACUUUCAAUUGGGAGGAAAAGCUAAUGGUUAAUAGCCAUUAGCCCUGACGUUACCUUUAGAAGAAGCACCGGCUAACUCCGUGCCAGCAGCCGCGGUAAUACGGAGGGUGCAAGCGUUAAUCGGAAUUACUGGGCGUAAAGCGCGCGUAGGCGGUUUUUUAAGUCGGAUGUGAAAGCCCCGGGCUUAACCUGGGAACUGCAUCCGAUACUGGAUGACUAGAAUGCGGGAGAGGGAGGUAGAAUUCCAUGUGUAGCAGUGAAAUGCGUAGAUAUAUGGAGGAAUACCAGUGGCGAAGGCGGCCUCCUGGCUCGACAUUGACGCUGAGGUGCGAAAGCGUGGGGAGCAAACGGGAUUAGAUACCCCGGUAGUCCACGCCGUAAACGAUGUCUACUAGCUGUAGGGGUACUUGAGACCUUUGUAGCGCAGCUAACGCAA